GACGAACGCUGGCGGCGCGCUUAACACAUGCAAGUCGAACGGAAAGGCCUGCUUUCCCUUGUGGAUUGCGGGUACUCGAGUGGCGAACGGGUGAGUAACACGUGAGUGAUCUGCCCCCAACUUGGGUAUAAGCCUGGGAAACUGGGUCUAAUUCCCGAUAGGACUGCAGGGUGGUGCCUGUGGUGGAAAACGAUUUUCUAGAGGUUGGGGAUGAGCUCGCGGCCUAUCAGCUUGUUGGUGGGGUAAUGGCCUACCAAGGCGGCGACGGGUAGCCGGCCUGAGAGGGUGGACGGCCACAUUGGGACUGAGAUACGGCCCAGACUCCUACGGGAGGCAGCAGUGGGGAAUAUUGCACAAUGGGCGGAAGCCUGAUGCAGCGACGCCGCGUGGGGGAUGACGGCCUUCGGGUUGUAAACUCCUUUCGACCGCGAGGAAGCCACCUGGUUGGAAGGGUGGUGACGGUAGUGGUAGAAGAAGCACCGGCUAACUACGUG
rnacentral:rRNA from 1 species